AGAUUUUUUGUAAGGUUAUGUAAUUAGCACUCCCCUUGAUAAGGAUGGAAGAGGUCCUAGUGACCUUUACAACACGCAUAUGGUUAAUGCACUGCCUUUUUUUUUU